CUCACCCCCGUUAGAGCGACAUUUCUCUGUUAAUUAAAACAGGCGGCAUCUUCCUUAUUGACUUUUGGUUGCCAGUUGAUAAAGCCUUUGAAUGGCUGCCGGGCUGCUGCUGGUCCUUGCCCUCGCCCUCGCCUUCGGCCGCCUGCAAGAUCAAGAGCUGCCCGAGCAGCUGUCAGGGCUGCAAAGCAGCCACGGGGGACGUACCCCGUGUAAAAAACACUCACUUUUCGGAGUGUAACGAGGCUGUUUGCUUUGGGAGGACAAACAGUCCAAGCAAGUGUAUUGAACGAGUCAGUAAAUGUGCUCAGUCUUCUGCCACUUGUUCCUGAGUUCCUCAGUGACCCCAGCCGUUACCUGCUUGGGAGCAAAACCCGGCAGAGCCGUGGGUGGUGAGCCCUUCCCUCUGCCCCAGCAGCCACCCAGUGCUGGGCAGCGUCUGUGCCAACCCCUCACUUUUCUUCCCACCUUCUGGGUGUGAUUUUCUGUCUUUCUGCUGAUGUUCAUUUUGUCCUGGCUCUUCUCUGCAGGAACGGAGCCCUCAGGCUGCCGCCCCAUCCCACCCCAUCCCGCCGUGCUGCCCCGCGAGAGAGUUUUGGUUGUGCCAAGCAAACCCAAGCGAGCGCCAGCUUUGCAGUGUCUGUCUGAGACCGUCCAUCCAUGCCACAUCCCCAAGACAUUCCCGUCCUCCUCCACCAAAGCUGCAGGGGAGCUGCUGAGUUACAAUCUUGUUUUAAGAAGAAGAAACAAACCCCAGAAGCCAACAGCAGCCCGAGCUGCAAUGCCUGUCAGCCUGGAUUGACUAAACCGCGGCGCAAGACAGAGCAGCUUCAUCCCUUGCUCAGCCCCCCAGCCCCCAGCCCGGAGAGGGGCUCACUCCCUGCCUGGAUCCGGCCACGAAAUGUUUCCCAUCCUCUUCCCUCCCUGCAGCAGAGCCCAGUUUUGCUCUUGUCGUCAGGAGCUUCCCAGUCUCGCUGCCGUGUGCUGCUGCCCACACGGCUCCCUCGCCCCCAGACCGGCUGUUUCAACCCAGGAGGAAAUCACAGCGGGUGGCGAGGUGGCGGCGGGGGGGGGGGGGAGUUUUUCUGAGCCCUUUUGGAAACCCCUGUGGCUUCCUCUGGGCUCUCAGCCCUUGCUCGUACAGCAGCAAAGACGAGGAACGGCAUGAA